ACACCCAGGAGUAUUGAUUUCUUCGCACUCAUCGUCCCACCAGGAUGUUUCCACUGCACACAAAGUCCUUUACAACUUGUUCUCUAUGAAGAGGCUCUGAUUCAUCAAUCAAGGUGGGUGGCCAGGAAAGGAAGCUUCUCUGGUAAACUUCAGACUUUAUAGAUACAGCGAAGAAACAGGCCCGUCGGCCCACCGAGUCCGCGCUGACCAACGAUCACCCCGUAUACUAGCACUAGCCAACACACUGGGGAAAAUGCACAAUUUUACCAAAGCCAAUUAACCUACGAAACCUGUUUGUCUUUGGGAUGUGGGAGAAAACCCAUGCGGUCACAAGGAGAAUGUACAAUCUCCGUAUAGCCAGCACCCGUAAUCAGGAUUGAACCCGGGUCUGUUGCGCUGUAACGCCGCAACUCUACUGCUGCGUCAAUGUGCCACCAAAAGGGAGAUCCAAAUGUACAAAUAUGUUAAAAAGUUACUAAAAUCAUUUCAAAUAAAAUAAGUAUAGGGCAUAGCUGUAACAAAAUUCUUGAUAAUA